rnacentral:misc_RNA from 1 species
UUUCCGUAGGUGAACCUGCGGAAGGAUCAUUAAUGUGUUUGGGCCUCACGGCUCUUCAUUCCGACGCUGUGCGCCUUCGGGCUGCACGCUGAGGGAGCAUAUAUCCACCCCUGUGCACACACACGGUGGCGAGCUGGGUAACGGCUCGCCGCUGAUCUUUACACACGUCUAAAAGUCAUUGUAUGUUUAUUUGAGAUAAAAACACAACUCUCAGCAACGGAUCUCUUGGCUCUCGCAAUCGAUGAAGAACGCAGC